rnacentral:rRNA from 1 species
UGCAGUCGAGCGGAUGACAGGAGCUUGCUCCUGAAUUCAGCGGCGGACGGGUGAGUAAUGCCUAGGAAUCUGCCUGGUAGUGGGGGACAACGUUUCGAAAGGAACGCUAAUACCGCAUACGUCCUACGGGAGAAAGCAGGGGACCUUCGGGCCUUGCGCUAUCAGAUGAGCCUAGGUCGGAUUAGCUAGUUGGUGAGGUAAUGGCUCACCAAGGCGACGAUCCGUAACUGGUCUGAGAGGAUGAUCAGUCACACUGGAACUGAGACACGGUCCAGACUCCUACGGGAGGCAGCAGUGGGGAAUAUUGGACAAUGGGCGAAAGCCUGAUCCAGCCAUGCCGCGUGUGUGAAGAAGGUCUUCGGAUUGUAAAGCACUUUAAGUUGGGAGGAAGGGCAGUAACCUAAUACGUUGCUGUCUUGACGUUACCGACAGAAUAAGCACCGGCUAACUCUGUGCCAGCAGCCGCGGUAAUACAGAGGGUGCAAGCGUUAAUCGGAAUUACUGGGCGUAAAGCGCGCGUAGGUGGUUUGUUAAGUUGGAUGUGAAAGCCCCGGGCUCAACCUGGGAACUGCAUUCAAAACUGACAAGCUAGAGUAUGGUAGAGGGUGGUGGAAUUUCCUGUGUAGCGGUGAAAUGCGUAGAUAUAGGAAGGAA